UACGGAGGGAGCUAGCGUUGUUCGGAAUUACUGGGCGUAAAGAGCACGUAGGCGGCUUUGUAAGUUAGAGGUGAAAGCCCGGAGCUCAACUCCGGAAUUGCCUUUAAGACUGCAUCGCUUGAAUCCGGGAGAGGUGAGUGGAAUUCCGAGUGUAGAGGUGAAAUUCGUAGAUAUUCGGAAGAACACCAGUGGCGAAGGCGGCUCACUGGACCGGUAUUGACGCUGAGGUGCGAAAGCGUGGGGAGCAAACAGG
rnacentral:rRNA from 1 species